UAGGGAAUCUUCGGCAAUGGACGAAAGUCUGACCGAGCAACGCCGCGUGAGUGAAGAAGGUUUUCGGAUCGUAAAACUCUGCUGUUAGAGAAGAACGUUGCAUAGAGUGGAAAAUUAUGCAAGUGACGGUAUCUAACCAGAAAGGGACGGCUAACUACGUGCCAGCAGCCGCGGUAAUACGUAGGUCCCGAGCGUUGUCCGGAUUUAUUGGGAGGAAAGCGAGCGGAGGUGGUUUAAUAAGUCUGAUGUAAAAGGCAGUGGCUCAAACGUUGUGUGCGUUGGAAACUGUUAGACUUGAGUGAAGUAGAGGAGAGUGGAAUUCCAUGUGUAGCGGUGAAAUGCGUAUAUAUAUGGAGGAACACCGGUGGCGAAAGCGGCUCUCUGGACUGUCACUGACACUGAGGCUCGAAAGCGUGGGUAGCAAACAGG
rnacentral:rRNA from 1 species